GUAGGGAGCAAGCGUUGUCCGGAAUCAUUGGGCGUAAAGCGCGCGUAGGCGGCCUCAUAAGUCCGUUGUGAAAGUCAAAGGCUCAACCUUUGAAAGCCGAUGGAUACUGUGAGGCUAGAGUCCGGAAGAGGCGAGUGGAAUUCCUGGUGUAGCGGUGGAAUGCGCAGAUAUCAGGAGGAACACCAAUAGCGAAGGCAGCUCGCUGGGACGGUACUGACGCUAAGGCGCGAAAGCGUGGGGAGCGAACAGGAUUAGAUACCCUGGUAGUCCACGCCGUAAACGAUGGGCACUAGGUGUGGGAGGUGUCGACUCCUCCCGUGCCGUCGCUAACGCACUAAGUGCCCCGCCUGGGGAGUACGGCCGCAAGGCUAAA
rnacentral:rRNA from 1 species